AAGGAAAGCUUGAAUGAUCAAUGUCUGGACUGGAGAGCUUGAAUUGAAGCCGAAGUUGAAGAAGCAAGUGCAGAAAGCCAUAAGAAACUCGCCUUUUGCAAUAACAAACUCUGUUUCCUCUUCCCUGCCGAUUUCAGACAUUCUUACCAUUGGCAACAGAGCUCGAAAUGCUCUGCUCCAUCAAAACCCACCUUGCGCCCCUUGUCCAUGCUACACCACCGUCAUAUUCUUGUACACUACAAGAAACUUCGAUAAUCGUACAGUUCGAGCUCCUAUGCAGAUACCAAAUUUAGCCCACAGUAACAUAGCUGAAGCUAACCCCACAUUUCUCAUCAAGACGUACGAACAUGCCUGCAGAAGGAUAGUAUAAUUCCCACGUUUUUGUUCCUCAUGUUUACGAACUGCAUAGCGAAGGAAUUGCGCCACUGCGCGCAAGUUAGAGCUUUCAGGCGAGGCAAUUCCCUUCAUGCUUAUUUGAGAAAACUUGGGUGUUUGAACGAUGUGUUUAUUGCGAACAAUUUGAUUUCCAUGUACGCGGAGUUUUCGAAUUUACGAGAUGCAGAGAAGGUGUUUGAUGAAAUGUCUGACAGAAAUAUUGUUACUUGGACCACCCUGGUUUCUGCAUUUACUGAUUGUGGAAGACCUUAUGAGGCACUUCGAGUGUAUGAUGAUAUGCCGAAAUCUGAGACGGCCAAUGGGUACAUGUAUUCCGCGGUUUUGAAGGCAUGUGGGCUUGUGGGUGAUUUGGAUCGGGGUAAGUUAAUUCAAGAAGGAAUAUAUGGGGGUAAGUUGCAGGGUGAUACUAUUUUGAUGAAUUCUCUCAUGGAUAUGUAUGUGAAAUGUGGAAGCUUGAGUGAUGCGGUGAAGGUUUUUCACAAUAUUUCACGUGCGACCACAACUACUUGGAAUAUCAUUAUUUCUGGGUAUAGUAAGGCCGGUUUGAUGGUGGAGGCUGAAAAACUUUUUCAUUGUAUGCCACAGCCAAAUGUUGUAUCUUGGAACAGCAUGAUUGCUGGCUUUGCAGACAAUGGGAGUCAGCGGGCAUUGGAAUUUGUGUCCUUGAUGCACAGAAAGGGAAUUAAGCUUGAUGAUUUCACAUUUCCAUGUGCUUUAAAGAUCAGUGCGCUUCAUGGGUUAUUAGUCAUCGGGAAACAAAUUCAUUCCUAUGUCACCAAAUUGGGGUAUGGAUCUAGUUGUUUUACACUGUCUGCUCUGAUUGAUAUGUAUUCAAAUUGCAAUGGCCUGACCGAAGCAGUCAAGUUGUUUGACCAACACUCUUCCUUCAACACUUCCAUUUCUGAGAACCUGGCACUGUGGAACUCGAUGCUCUCAGGAUAUGUUAUCAACAACUGUGACCAAGCUGCUUUGAAUCUGAUUUCAUACAUCCAUUGCUCGGGUACGAUAAUGGACUCUUACACCUUUGGUGGUGCUUUAAAGGUUUGCAUCAACUUAUUAAGUCCAAGGGUUGGUUUUCAAGUACAUGGUCUGAUUGUCACUUGUGGUUAUGAAUUGGAUUAUGUUGUUGGAAGCAUUCUUGUGGAUCUCUAUGCAAAACUAGGACGCAUCGACGAUGCAUUAGCACUGUUCCAUAGGCUUCCAAGGAAAGAUAUCAUAGCCUGGUCCGGUUUGAUCCUGGGGUGUGCUCAAAUGGGAUUGAACUGGUUAGCUUUCUCAAUGUUCAAAGAUAUGCUCGAGUUGGCUCAUGAAAUAGAUCAUUUUGUCAUUUCAACCACUCUGAAAGUCUGCUCCAAUUUAGCAUCUCUUAGAAGUGGAAAGCAGGUCCAUGCAUUCUGUGUCAAAAGUGGGUAUGAAAUGGAGGGGUUCACAAUAACUUCCCUUCUUGAUAUGUAUUCAAAAUGCGGUGAAAUUGAGGAUGCAUUAACAUUGUUUGAUUGUAUACAAGAAAAAGACAUAGUAACUUGGACUGGGAUCAUUGUAGGAUGUGGACAAAAUGGAAGGGCGGCAGAAGCUGUCAGGUUUUUUCAUGAGAUGAUUCAAUCAGGGCUAAAUCCAAAUGAAAUCACCCUUCUAGGGGUGCUUUCUGCAUGUCGAUAUGCUGGUUUGAUCGAAGAGGCACGAAACAUAUUUAAUUCCAUGAAAUCUGUAUAUGGACUAGAACCUCAUUUAGAGCAUUAUUGCUGCAUGGUUGAUCUUCUUGCUCUAGCUGGGCUACCUGAAGAAGCUGAAAAAUUGAUAGCAAAUAUGCCGUUUGAGCCAGAUCAGACCACAUGGCGCACUUUGCUAGGGGCGUGUGGAACUCGUAACGAUACCAAGCUUAUUAACAGUGUUGCUAAUGGCCUUCUUGAAGCUACACCAGAUGACCCUUCAACAUACGUGUCACUUUCAAAUGCUUAUGCAUCGCUGGGGAUGUGGCAUAACCUAAGCAAAGCGAGGGAGGCUGCCAAAAAGGUGGGAGUCAAAAGAGCUGGGUUAAGCUGGAUUGAGGUUGCGAGUUGAAAGAAAAAAAUACUCCUUUGCUGACUGCAUGGCAGGAAAAUAUCCAUUUUUAAACCUCUCUUGGAAUGAGAGUCAUCCCAUGCAAUUGGUAAAGUGAACAGACACAUGAAAAGGAGAGGCCGCUCUUGCUACCAAAGUUCAAAGAGACUCUACCUUUAUGUCUAUGAGUGGAGGAGGAAUAUUCAGGCAUAAAGUGAUGAUGGCUGAACAACUAAUCAUGACAUCGGUCCCAGAGAGGAAAGACGGUAACUUCCCUACAUUAUUUUGGUUCUUUUCCUUACCCUUGAAAUCCAGUUUUGGACGAUCCUAAUUCAAGCCAUUAAGUCAAGCGGGACAGAACGGAUUAUUCCAAAACGAACAAAAUGGUUUCUGGGCCCUGGCAAGAUUCGAAGGGCUUACUGUACCCACAGUACUUCGUACUUACAGCUGAAUAUGCCUCUAACAACUGCCCAAGACGGCGGCUUCUCUGCCUUCUGCGCCUUUGGUUUCUGGUUUUCAUG